UACGGGGGGAGCAAGCGUUGUUCGGAUUUACUGGGCGUAAAGGGCGCGUAGGCGGUCGUGACAAGUCACUUGUGAAAUCUCCGGGCUUAACUCGGAAAGGUCAAGUGAUACUGUCGGACUAGAGUACAGAAGGGGCAACUGGAAUUCUCGGUGUAGCGGUGAAAUGCGUAGAUAUCGAGAGGAACACCUGCGGCGAAGGCGGGUUGCUGGGCUGAUACUGACGCUGAGGAGCGAAAGCGUGGGGAGCAAACAGG
rnacentral:rRNA from 1 species